CGGAGGGUUGCAGGUUCCGUUCCUUAGUUAAGGAAUGGAGUAAAAAAGUACAGUGGGACCCUCAAAUAGUGGUUUAAGGAACGGUAUAGGAACGGUAUAGGAACAGCGUUGUGGAUGGCCUUACAGAAGAUAACCGAAGAGGCAGAGCAGAAGAGGCUUGCCAUCGAAUUUGAGCAAAUGAAGAAUCAAAGGAUUCGCCAAGAAAUAGAAGAACGUGAGCUUGAGGAAGCCCAAGCAUUACUGCAGGAAGCUGAAAACAGUGUUAGCUAGAGGGGUGAGCAGCUCAGGGAGAAGCAAGAGAUGGAGAAAAGGCUACAGAAGCUUGGACAAACGAUGGAUUAUUUGGAGAGCAAAAAGGGAAGAGGCUGCCCCUGUUAUAGAAGCUACAUUUCAUAAGAAGAUGAGAAAGUUAAUCAUGAGUCGAUAUUGUCAAUAGAGGAGGGAGGGUGUAAAGAAUAAUAAUAUAUAUCACAUUAAUUUUGACCUGACAUGUUAAAAUAUUUAAUGCGUGGGUGGGACA